UGGGGAAUAUUGCACAAUGGGCGAAAGCCUGAUGCAGCAACGCCGCGUGCGGGAUGACGGCCUUCGGGUUGUAAACCGCUUUCAGCAGGGACGAAGGUUUUCUGACGGUACCUGCAGAAGAAGCACCGGCUAACUACGUGCCAGCAGCCGCGGUGAUACGUAGGGUGCGAGCGUUGUCCGGAAUUAUUGGGCGUAAAGAGCUUGUAGGCGGUCCGUUGCGUCGGAAGUGAAAACUCAGGGCUUAACCCUGAGCCUGCUUUCGAUACGGGCGGACUUGAGGGAUGUAGGGAGAACGGAAUUCCUGGUGGAGCGGUGGAAUGCGCAGAUAUCAGGAGGAACACCAGUGGCGAAGGCGGUUCUCUGGACAUUUCCUGACGCUGAGAAGCGAAAGCGUGGGGAGCAAACAGGCUUAGAUACCCUGGUAGUCCACGCCGUAAACGGUGGGCACUAGGUGUGGGACCCAUUCCACGGGUUCCGUGCCGUAGCUAACGCAUUAAGUGCCCCGCCUGGGG
rnacentral:rRNA from 1 species